rnacentral:rRNA from 1 species
CUUGACCUCAAAUCGGGUGAGACUACCCGCUG